rnacentral:rRNA from 1 species
GAUGAACGCUGGCGGCGUGCCUAAUACAUGCAAGUAGAACGCUGAAGGAAGGAGCUUGCUCUUUCCGGAUGAGUUGCGAACGGGUGAGUAACGCGUAGGUAACCUGCCUGGUAGCGGGGGAUAACUAUUGGAAACGAUAGCUAAUACCGCAUAACAGUAGAUGUUGCAUGACAACUAUUUGAAAGGGGCAAUUGCUCCACUACCAGAUGGACCUGCGUUGUAUUAGCUAGUUGGUGAGGUAACGGCUCACCAAGGCGACGAUACAUAGCCGACCUGAGAGGGUGAUCGGCCACACUGGGACUGAGACACGGCCCAGACUCCUACGGGAGGCAGCAGUAGGGAAUCUUCGGCAAUGGACGGAAGUCUGACCGAGCAACGCCGCGUGAGUGAAGAAGGUUUUCGGAUCGUAAAGCUCUGUUGUAAGAGAAGAACGAGUGUGAGAGUGGAAAGUUCACACUGUGACGGUAUCUGACCAGAAAGGGACGGCUAACUACGUG